ensembl:lncRNA
GCUGCAAAAAGAGCAAGAAAAAAACACUAGCAAUUAGAGGAAUAUCUUAGGGAGUGCAGCACAUGUCAGUGUUGUCAGAUGUUACACCGUAGCUGUCAUAGCUUUGACUGAUGUACAAGCACUACCUGCUCAUGUUUGCCCUUCCUUUCUGUGGAGUGCACACAGGAAAUAUGAAAAGAAAUGAAAUCACAGAAAUCAAAGGUGCAAAUGUUUUUGCAGUGCUCAAGAAAAGGAGCUACAUUUCACUCAAAGGAAUGUGGUUUGGCCACAUCUCUUCAAGGAAUCAUAGAAUCUCUGUGGUUUCUAUGAACUCUAAUGUUUUCAGGAUAUCUGCUGUGAAAAUCAUGCAUCCACAAUAACCGAAGCUCUCUGGCAAUCCCUGGAGGUAAGGCCCUGAAACUUUCACUAAGACCAGCAGUGCCUUCACUGGAUCUUUCUUCUGCAACAGCACCUCAACAAGUGCUUACGUUUCACUGAAGUAAAUGCAGCAUAAGGAUAUGUUUAAUGGUGAGCACAAAAUCACAUUUAUUUGAGGAAGGAAUGAUUUUACAUAUAUGCUUAAGUGCUUUGUUGAAAUAAGGCCAGCACAGUGAAUGUAUGUAAAGAUAACAGCAUAUAGGAGAAAAUCCUCACCACACAGAAACUCAGGCAACAUUCCUAAGCCAAACAAAGCUUUACUGCAGGAUUUGAUGGUAAAAACAUAAACUGAGAAGCCAUCCUUGGCAAACCUGAGUGAGCUUUAUGCGUGUGUAUCUCUUUUGGUGUCUUUGCUGUUGUAAGCUGCUAAAUACACAUUGGUGUUCAGCUGAGUUGAAAUUUAGAGUAGCAUAUUUUGAAGGACCUUAAUAAAGAUGUCUUACUCUUUUAAAUAACCUUCUCUUAACAAUAAUGUCAAAUGCAACAUUUUAAGAUAAGACACUCAGAUAUUUCAAAAUUAAUUUUUCACACUGAAGAGGAAAUAUUAAAAGGUUUUCCUUAAGCCAUUGCUAUUACUCUCGUUAAAUGUAUUUUUUGUAAUAUUCCUAGACGAUCCUGACUAGGAAUAAUUUUAGAAUGAAACAGUGUCAUAGAAGCAAGACUAGUCAAUGAAAAAAGACCAUAGACAAUGACAUGUGUUAAAACAGGGUUUCUCCAUUAAAAAUUAGUAUAAGAGUAACUUUAUUACAUCAUUGUGCUCCCAUUGCUUAGGUAAGAAACAGUCAUGUUAAAUCUUUGUUGACGAAAUAAAAUUAUAGAAGAGCUGCACAGCUGCACAUGCAUUAUAAUGUUCUGUGAAGUAAAAUAUUUCAUAUGCAAUUUUUUUUCAUAAUGCACAAGAAAAAGUUUUAAUGGUAAACAUUUUCACUGGACUAUUUUAAUUUAGUAAUAAUUAAAUAUUAGCUGAAAGCCAAUGUUAAUAUUGGCAGGAGGAAAGUUAUUUCUGUGGAGGAGGAGCAGUCCUGCAGUCUGUCAGUAAGGUGUGUCUCAAGAUAAAGGCUAGCAAAAUUCUCCAAGAAAGGUGAUGCAACAGGUGAAAGCUGACUGUAGCAACUGAAGUCCAAUUCUUCUCAGUUUCCAAUUGAUCAGAAAGAUUGCAGGUAGAUUUCCCACCCCAUUGUAGGGCACAAAACCUUUUGUCUGGCUAUUCAGAGAGCUUUCUAUUAUUGCUGGCAUAUUGAUGUCCACUUUGAAGGCUAAGAUGAAUUUUAAUGGCAUAAAUAAUAAAAAAGGAGAGAAUUCAAGACAGGACUAACAUAAUAGACUAUUCUUUAUUUGCAAAGCUCUUACUAGAUAUGUUUUAUGGGGGACAUUUUCGCAGCAGCACAUUCAUAUCAGUUCAAGGAUAUAAUUAAUAAUAGCAAUAAUAAUCACAGUAUUGAGGCUGCUGUAGGGGAAAAUCCUGCUAAUUCUAGUGCAUGUAGCUCUCUCUGAGCCCCUUCCUGCCUCACAUAUAGGCAUAUUUCUAUUAAGAUAAGGAGAGUGUGAGCUCAGCUCUUUGUUCUAAACCAGCAGCUGCUGUGAUUAGUGUGGGUUUUGCAUAUCAACAUCAGCCUGUAUUAGAGGUAUAUUUUUUUUAUAAUUUUUUUGGUACAUGCUCAUUGGGAAUAUGCCCCUUGAUUCCUUUUCCAAGAGCAUACCAUGGCAAGGGCUGCCAGGAAUGCCACAGGCAAGGCAGCCACAGAGCUAGCAAAUUCUGAGGAGAGCUGCAUUAAGGCAAUUCUCUCCCAUUGGCAUCAAGAGCCUGGAAUUCAGAGAAGGCCAUCUAAAAUAAUCAAAGCAUUGAGAAAUGAGAUCUGUGAGCAAUGUUAAGAGAGAUAAACAUACGUGCUUUUCAGAAGAACUGGAUGAGUGGGAGGAUAGGGAACAUGAAAGCAAUUUUACAAAAAAACAGAGUGUAAAAAUAGAUAUUCUAAAAGGAAGAAAAAUCUUGAUUUAAUUAACUGUAGCUCACAACAAAGGAAGGAAGAGUCCAAAGCCUGCAGAUCUACACAGGUGGUGGUAUUAAAAGUAGAAUUUGUUCACUGCAAACAGUAUGGAAAAUAAUAAUAUAUUAUAAAACACAAAAUAAAACCAAAAAUGCACAUUACCUACAUAGACAUAAAACAAACACAGACACACAUGUAUAAGACAGAUAUAUAAAAUGUCAUAUUGUGGGUUCUCAGGAUUGCAUUUUUAUUGUGUUUGGCAUUGUACCAAAUUAAUUUCUCCAAAAAUAUUGUACUGUUUGUUUUCUCUUAUUUCUGUUUACAUAAAAAAACCCCUAUCUUGUAUUUCUUUAUUGUUACUAAAUAGUCUACAGGUUUCUUUUUCUAUUCUGUUAGAAUAGCCCACGAUAAAAAAAAGCCCUUUGAAAUUGGUCAAAACUCAUACAAUGUUUGGACAUAUGAAUACAGUAUGUGUAAUAAAAUUCAGUAAUAUUAUUAAUAUA